rnacentral:rRNA from 1 species
AUGGCGCGUGGCCAAAGCGGUUACCGCCCGCGGUAUCCGUCUAUGAAACCGCAUCAUCUAAUGCGUUUCAUCUUCUGGAACAUCCGAGGCUUCGGCCACGCUGGGAGGCGGACCCAGUUAAGAGAGUUCAUUAGGAACGAGGAAAUCGACGUGGUCGGAUUGCAAGAGACUAUCAAGGCCGAUUUCAACCACCGGGACUUGCUUGCGGUUGACCCGUUGGAGCGUUUCGUCUGGCACUGGGUGCCUGCGGUAGGACACUCCGGGGGUUUGCUGCUAGGAGUUAACCUAGUCUGCCUUGAAGUGGUGGCUUGGGAUGCCGGCCGCUUCUCCCUGUCGGCCCACGUGCGGCACCGCGCCACUCUACAGGAGUGGAUGGUGAUUGCCGUGUAUGGCCCGGCCAAUCACUCGCUCUCGCUGGAGUUCUUGGAAGAGCUUCAGACAAAGGUGAGGGCUGUUGGCGUGAGCAACCUUCCUCUGCUGGUGGGGGGUGACUUCAACUUGAUCCGCUCGGGAGCGGACAAGAACAACGAUAUUAUUAACUGGUCAAGGGUGGCCAUGUUUAAUAAUGCUAUUGCUUCCAUGGCCCUUAGGGAAGUGGCCCGCGUGGGGGCUCGAUAUACCUGGACCAACAAACAGCUCACGCCGGUGCGUUCGGUCCUGGACAGGGUUUUUAUGUCCUCGGAGUGGGAGGUGUUGUUCCCUCUGUGCUCUCUACACGCAGAAACUAGGAUCGGGUCGGACCACGUCCCCCUCAUCCUUUCCUCGGGGGAAGAAAGGCUUAAACGUAGCCCGCGUUUCUUCUUCGAAACAGCAUGGCUGGAGUCUCCGGACUUCGAGCAAACCUUCCUUUCGAAGUGGGCGAAUUGCGUUGCUCGCAUCGGUCGCGUACGCGGCCCCAUGGAGUUCUGGAUAGCCGCAGGGGCGGGUAUGCGAGCGGCUCUCAAAGGGUGGGGAGCUAAUCAGGGUUGGGCGGAUAAGCGGUUAAGGGUGCGCCUGACUGAGGAGCUAGCUCAGCUAGACGCAGCGGCAGAUCUGCACAUCUUUUCCGCGCAGGACUGGGCCCAGCGCUACGCGCUUGAGGCCCAAGUCGAAUCCCUCCUCAGGGCUGAGGAAGAGUACUGGCGUAGGCGCGGUGGAAUAAAGUGGACGCUCAAGGGCGACGCGAACACAAAAUACUUCCACGCAUACGCAAAUGGCCGACGCCGUAAGUGCGCUAUCCUUCGUCUUCAAUCGGAGCAGGGGCUCAUACUGCGGCAAUAG